GGACCCGCACAAGUAGUGGAGCAUGUGGUUUAAUUCGAAGAUACGCGCAGAACCUUACCAACACUUGACAUGUUUGUCGCGACUUUAAGAGAUUAAAGUCUUCGGUUCGGCCGGACAAAACACAGGUGCUGCAUGGCUGUCGUCAGCUCGUGUCGUGAGAUGUUGGGUUAAGUCCCGCAACGAGCGCAACCCUCACUUUUAGUUGCCAUCAUUUAGUUGGGCACUCUGAAAGAACUGCCAGUGAUAAGCUGGAGGAAGGUGGGGAUGACGUCAAGUCCUCAUGGCCCUUACGUGUUGGGCUACACACGUGCUACAAUGGCAUUUACAAUAGGAAGCAAGAUGGCGACAUCAAGCAAAUCCUAAAAAAUGCCUCAGUUCGGAUUGUACUCUGCAACUCGAGUACAUGAAGCUGGAAUUACUAGUAAUCG
rnacentral:rRNA from 1 species